AUCAGUGAGGUGCCACUGCUGACAGGCACCUCUCCUACCGGGGCUUCAUUUUCCAUCACGAUGCUGAUGAGUCCUCCCUCAGUGCAGCUCUCCCAGCAGCACUGCAUGUUCCCGGGUUCCACCUGCACAGCCCCCGCCGCCCACCGCACAGCAGCCAGAACAGCCAGCAGAAGCCCUUCUUCUCCGCUGGACUUGCAGGCGUGCAGGAGCCCUUAGCAUGCCACUCCUGUGAUCAAACUGAACUACUUCCUCCAGCUGAUUUCCAAGGAACUGUGCAGUGGAUGAAUAAUUCAUGACAAGGCCAUUGCCGUAACCAAUUUCAGCUCUGGCUAUCAGAUCUUUAUCUCGUUGAUAUUCUUCUAAGAAAAACGUGAACGUUCCUCUUCACCAACUUGUCAGUGCUUACACAUAUCCAUGAGCGACGUCUGCAGCAGUUCAUUCUCGGCAACCAAAGCCAGAAUUCCAAGAGGAACCUGAACACAGCAUGAAAGGCUCAUUCUUCUCCAGGCUCUGCCGCCAGGAGGUCCAGUCCCCACCUAUCAUGUUUACCUCACUGCCUUCAUCUUUGUUUUUCUUCUGAUUGUCUCAAGCUGGUGCUUUGUCAGUAAUUACUCUUUCAGCUACUGUUAUUCUGUUCCCAGCCACUUCUAAUUUAUUUAUUCUGCAAAUCCAUUCUUUAUAUGUCUCCUUGGCUCUGUAUUCUUGCCUUUUCACCUCACUGUGCUAUUUUUAGUAUGUCAUUUCUGAGCCUGUGUUUUAUGAAACUCAGAUUCUUAAUAGCUUACUACUUGGGAAUUCUCUUCUUUUUUGAAGGGCAGUUACUCUUUCUCCCGCAGGCAUUGUGCCUUUCUCUCCAUCCUGCCACGAGGGCAGAACCUGGCCGGCCAGUCUCCUCACUGGCUCAGACCCACAGGGACGGACGGUCUGUGGCAUCUGUGGGUGUCACUGUGCAGUGGAGGGGAACCUUCCACUCCAGCUCCGUUCCAAGCUGGUUGCACGCUAGCGGCUCGGCGCAGGUGUGCGAGGAGAGGGAGGUCCAUGGAACGCGAAAAAGGGAAAGGGAAUCAGCUCAGCAGGGCUAGGGCCACAAGCAGCCUGACUCUGCUCUCUCCUGGGAUACAUUCUUUCCUCCCCAACUUUCUUUAAUUCCCGCCAUGGCUCUGUUGCUUCUUCCAUCCUAGACCCUUCCUGUUUCACUGAUCCCAGCUUUAAUAAACUUCCUCUCAAAAAUCA